UGUCUCCACCCUCCAAUCAGUGAAACUGAUCUCUCCGUGAAGAAGCGGAGAUAUUUACAUAAGACGAGAAGACCCCAUGGAGCUUUAAACCCGAAAGCACCCACCUACUCCAUACCCUAUAUACUUUUGGUUCUUGCUUACUCGGUUUUAGGUUGGGGUGACCACGGAGUAUAAAACAACCUCCGUGAAGAAAGGAAAAUAACCCUCAUCAGAGAAUGACAAUUCCAAGAGCUAACAAAUUAAUUUUUAAUGAUCCGACAUUCGAUCAACGAACCAAGUUACCCUGGGGAUAACAGCGCAAUCCACCUCAAGAGCCCCUAUCGACAGGUGGGUUUA
rnacentral:rRNA from 1 species